rnacentral:rRNA from 1 species
UACGGAGGGUGCGAGCGUUAUCCGGAUUCACUGGGCUUAAAGGGCGCGUAGGCGGGAAUGUAAGUCAGUGGUGAAAUCUCUGGGCUUAACUCAGAAACUGCCAUUGAUACUAUGUUUCUUGAAUUUUCUGGAGGUCAGCGGAAUAUGUCAUGUAGCGGUGAAAUGCUUAGAUAUGACAUAGAACACCAAUUGCGAAGGCAGCUGGCUACAGGGAUAUUGACACUGAGGCACGAAAGCGUGGGGAGCAAACAGG